UACGGGGGGAGCAAGCGUUGUUCGGAUUUACUGGGCGUAAAGGGCGCGUAGGCGGCCAGCACAAGUCAGUUGUGAAAUCUCCGGGCUUAACUCGGAAAGGUCAACUGAUACUGUGCGGCUAGAGUGCAGAAGGGGCAACUGGAAUUCUCGGCGUAGCGGUGAAAUGCGUAGAUAUCGAGAGGAACACCUGCGGCGAAGGCGGGUUGCUGGGCAUUACCUGACGCUGAGGAGCGAAAGUGUGGGGAGCGAACAGG
rnacentral:rRNA from 1 species